UCCCCGCUGGCUCAGUGGUAAAGAAUCUGCCUGUAAAGCAGACGACUCAAGAGACCCAGGUUUGAUCCCUGGGUCGAGAA
rnacentral:tRNA from 1 species